AUGCCAUGCUUCCUGAUUAUUGAACCUAGUGGGAGCAAAUACAAAGAGAAGAGAAGUGGGCCUAAAACUGAGCCCUGUGGGACCCCACAAGAGAGAGGAGCAGAGGAGGACUCAGAGUCACCACAACUGACACAGAAAGUCCAACCAUCCAGCGUUUGCAUAGAGAGAGUGUUUUACAUGAGCGACACACGCUUCAGUGCUCUGCAUGUGUUUAUAACUCUGUCAAACAUCAAACAUGAUCAACAACUGUUUUCACUAGAACUGAACCUACAACCAACAAAAAUGACUUUCAGCACCAUAUUGAUCUGGACGCUGGCAGUAUUAUGUCGAGAAUCUGUUGGUCAGGUGACAGUGACUCAAACUCCCUCAGAGCUGCUCUCUCAAACUGGACAAUCAGUCACUGUGACCUGUAAAACUAGCAGUGAUCCAGACUACGGGUGUAGUGGACAGUGUCUUGCCUGGUACUUACAGAAACCUGGAGAAGCUCCUAAACUCCUGAUUUAUGGAACAAGCACCCUCCAGUCAGGAACUCCAUCUAGAUUCAGUGGCAGUGGAUCUAACAGAGAUUUCACUCUGACCAUCAGUGGAGUCCAGACUGAAGAUGCUGGACAUUAUUACUGUAUGAGUUUACAC